rnacentral:rRNA from 1 species
UACGAAGGGGGCUAGCGUUGCUCGGAAUCACUGGGCGUAAAGCGCACGUAGGCGGCUUUCUAAGUCAGGGGUGAAAUCCUGGAGCUCAACUCCAGAACUGCCUUUGAUACUGGAGAGCUUGAGUCCGGAAGAGGUGAGUGGAACUCCGAGUGUAGAGGUGAAAUUCGUAGAUAUUCGGAAGAACACCAGUGGCGAAGGCGGCUCACUGGUCCGGUACUGACGCUGAGGUGCGAAAGCUAGGGGAGCGAACGGGG